GACGAACGCUGGCGGCGUGCUUAACACAUGCAAGUCGAACGGAAAGGCCCUGCUUGCAGGGUACUCGAGUGGCGAACGGGUGAGUAACACGUGGGUGAUCUGCCCUGCACUUCGGGAUAAGCCUGGGAAACUGGGUCUAAUACCGGAUAGGAGCCAUUUUUAGUGUGAUGGUUGGAAAGUUUUUUCGGUGUAGGAUGAGCUCGCGGCCUAUCAGCUUGUUGGUGGGGUAAUGGCCUACCAAGGCGGCGACGGGUAGCCGGCCUGAGAGGGUGGACGGCCACACUGGAACUGAGACACGGUCCAGACUCCUACGGGAGGCAGCAGUAGGGAAUCUUCCGCAAUGGGCGAAAGCCUGACGGAGCAACGCCGCGUGAGUGAUGAAGGUCUUCGGAUCGUAAAACUCUGUUAUUAGGGAAGAACAUAUGUGUAAGUAACUGUGCACAUCUUGACGGUACCUAAUCAGAAAGCAACGGCUAACUACGUG
rnacentral:rRNA from 1 species